UAGGACAACCAGCUUGCUCGCAGAGGGGAGUGGUGCUGGCCUUGUCCCGGCGGAACUCGGCUGCAGGAAUGGGGAUGCUGGCGCCAGGACCGCGCUGGCCCAGGGUCCAGAGGGGUGAAAGAGAGGGCCGGAAAGCCCAAGGAUGAAGAGCGGCACAAAAGAGGGCAAGAUGUCUGAGGUGUCACAGCUAUGUAUUGAAGACUUCUUUGUGGUAGACACUUUUGGCAUCAGCUAUGCUACUGUGAAGGCAAAGUUCUUGCCCUAACAGAUCACACUGAGAAGAAAAGACAAUCAUGGCUAACAUUACUGGAAUAACAGACUUCUGGCAAUGACUGAAACACCAUCUUACAAAGAAGACCCAAUGACCCAGUCAAGCUUUUGUGUAAAAGUAAUUAUGAUUAAGGAAUGCAGAGGUACUCACAGCGCUUACCAAAGAUGAAUGCUAAUCCUGCUGGCCAUUCUUCAAAAGAGGGUUGUAUGUUUAAAGAAUUUUGAAAGCACCCAGGAAUUCACAAUCCACACUCAGAAGAAGGGUUGAAAAUCAUCUGAUUUGUGAGAGUCAAUCUAUAAGGCAGGAAAUCAUCACUGUUUGACCUUAUAAAUAAAGGUGCAGAGAAUAUUUUUUCUGAAAAACUUUAAGCACAGCCAGGCUUGAUGGUGCAUACCUAUAAUCCCCAGC